rnacentral:rRNA from 1 species
UACGUAGGGUGCGAGCGUUGUCCGGAAUUACUGGGCGUAAAGAGCUCGUAGGCGGUUUGUCGCGUCGUCUGUGAAAUUCUGCAACUCAAUUGCAGGCGUGCAGGCGAUACGGGCAGACUUGAGUACUACAGGGGAGACUGGAAUUCCUGGUGUAGCGGUGAAAUGCGCAGAUAUCAGGAGGAACACCGGUGGCGAAGGCGGGUCUCUGGGCCGAUACUGACGCUGAGGAGCGAAAGCGUGGGGAGCGAACAGG